rnacentral:rRNA from 1 species
UACGGGGGGGGCAAGCGUUGUUCGGAAUUACUGGGCGUAAAGGGCUCGUAGGCGGCCAACUAAGUCAGACGUGAAAUCCCUCGGCUUAACCGGGGAACUGCGUCUGAUACUGGAUGGCUAGAGUUUGGGAGAGGGAUGCGGAAUUCCAGGUGUAGCGGUGAAAUUCGUAGAUAUCGGGAGGAACACCGGUGGCGAAGGCGGCGACCUGGGUCGAUACUGACGCUGAUGCGCGAAAGCGUGGGGAGCAAACAGG